ACAACACCAGCAGCACACAGCAGGACUUCAGAAACCACCAGAUGAAGGAAGGAGCCUCUACCAGCUGUGGGAGACUCCAUUAUGCAGCCUCAAGCCCAAUCACCUGGGCAGCCUGGUGUGUCCUCCCAAGAUGCGGCCCUGUAUGUGUUCCUAUCCUGGGUUAUUUGUCUGUUUCUUGGAGCUGACUGAUAGGAACUUUCCACUUGGACUUUUGAAGAGCCCCUUGGCAAAGCCAAGUGGAAUCUCAUCCUGAGUGCCCCCAAAGAGCCGUAGACCUGGCUGUUUCCUUGUUCCUCUUUCCCCCAGGGGACCAGGGUCCAUCCCCCCCAUCUCCUCCACCCCCACAACACCUCUGCCAUGGAGCACAUGGCCCAGGAACAUCAAAUUCUUCUCCUCAGGAAGCCACUGUCACACUUCUGUCUGCUGGAAACCUCAGUCUGCCCCAACAAAGAGAGAGCCUCCGCCGCCAGGUCUUUACGGAGGAGGGGGAAGGAGGUGAGUAUUCCGUGAUUCUCAGCGCGUGGGGGAAACGCUUCUGGCAUUAAACAAAGCCUUUUUAUAUUUAAACUGCCAGCCCAGGAUUUUCAGAAAAGUUUCCCCAAGUGUGACUGAGGGUGUGUGCACACAAAAAAAUAAUACACCGACGGAUAAGCACAGUUGGAGGCAGAAACACGUGUGCACGUGCAAACACCCCAGUUAGGUCUAAACACCGCCACGACCGACACGAGCCACGUGCUCCUCGGCGGCAGCGCGCUGGGGACGCUUUUGCACGCCCGGCUGCAGGGCGGGCCUGGGGAGUCGGUUCCACCAGGAAUUCCAGAGCCACGGGGGGUGGGAGGAGAAGGAAGCCG
ensembl:lncRNA